rnacentral:tRNA from 1 species
ACCCAAGUAGCUCAGGGGAAGAGCGAGACCAAAUAGUCCGUCGCAUAAAAAUCCAGGGUCUUCAAAAGCUGGUUGAAAGUCGCAGGUUCGAGUCCUGCCUUGGGUGCCA